AAAAAAGGAGCUGCCAAAUUGCCAGCCACAAAUUCAGGAAAGGAAGGAUUUUUGAGACCAAAAACCCUUGACAGGCAGCUGAGGUCCUGCUUGUGGUUAGCCAUAGUGGCCCAGGAUACAGAGAACUGUAUCUAAUGAAAGUAUAGCAGGAUUAUAAACUCCUCCAAACGUUCAUUUUAAGAUCUCUUUCUCUCUCUCUCUUUUAAAUAGAACUGGUGUUUAAAAAACAUCUAGAAAUAUGAACGUAUAGAUAAAUGUCACAGAAAGAUCUUCAAAAUAAUCAAAAAGAAGCAAAGUUCUUACUGGAAAUGGUAGAUGUACUGAUAACAGUCCACAGUGGAAAGAAAAUGACCCGGAAUAGAAGAUUUGCAGAUGGAAUUCUGAAGCAUGCUGAAGAUUCAGAAAAUAGACCAGUGGGGAUUUUUUAAACUCCUUUGCAAGCUUAUCAGAACUUAACAUAAUCAACAUUAUAAAUGGGAUUGGUAUCCUGAAAGUAAAAAGGAAUUCGUAAGCUACUGAAACAACCCCACAUUCUGCACUCCUGUUUCAUAUUAGAAAAUAUUUCUUUUUAAGGCAGAAUCCUACUCUUCGGGAAAAAUCACUGAAAACUGGAAAUACAGAAGAUUUCAACCAUCUCUUCACAUUCAUGUUUAUGUUUACAGAAAACACAUCUAAAUUCUAGAUUUUUAUAUUAAUUUUUAUUCCUUUGUUCUCUUAGAACUAGCUCCUGACUACAGAGACAGAAAAGAUGGGAUGGGUUAGUGUACAAAAGGAGAUGAGAAAAAGUAAGAGGGUUAAUGAAGAACAGAUUUGGAGGGAACAGCAAAGUUAAUAUGUUGGAAGAAGCCAAACGGAUAGGAAGAUCAUUUUUAAAUUCCUGCCACUGUUAGGUUAUCCCAUUCUACUUCAAUGCCUUUAUUUGGCAAAUGGAGAGACUGAUAUGUUUUUGCAAAGCUAAAAAAAUAGUGUCAUUUUAGUGCACAGACAGCUUAUCAUGAAUGACAGUCACCAAAGGGAAAGUAUGAAAAAUUUAAGUUUUUAGGGAUUUAGAUGCUGCUAAUAGGUCUAAUGCUAUCAAACAGUUCAUAAAUUGGAAGUAAAUUUUUAAAAAAUGUGUUUUUUUUUAAUAGUGAGUGUGUGCAUGUGUGAGUGACAGAGAUUCUGUUUUAUUUCACAGUGGGGAAAAAAUACCCAAAUUCUGAACACUUAAUAAAAUACAGGUCUUGUUUCUAGUCA
rnacentral:lncRNA from 1 species